AGUGAACGCUGGCGGCAGGCCUAAUACAUGCAAGUCGAACGGCAGCACAGCAGAGCUUGCUCUGUGGGUGGCGAGUGGCGGACGGGUGAGGAAUACGUGGGAAUCUGCCCAGUCGUGGGGGAUAACGUAGGGAAACUUACGCUAAUACCGCAUGCGCCCUUCGGGGGAAAGCCGGGGGACCUUCGGGCCUGGCGCGAUUGGAUGAGCCCACGUCGGAUUAGCUAGUUGGCGGGGUAAAGGCCCACCAAGGCGACGAUCCGUAGCUGGUCUGAGAGGAUGAUCAGCCACACUGGAACUGAGACACGGUCCAGACUCCUACGGGAGGCAGCAGUAGGGAAUAUUGGACAAUGGGGCAACCCUGAUCCAGCCAUGCCGCGUGUGUGAAGAGGCC
rnacentral:rRNA from 1 species